GGAAGAUCAGGCAAAAUAGCAUGCACACAUAUCUCUAUUGGGAUAAAUUUACACAAAAAUGCUGAAUUAUGAGGACUUCUUUUUUAAAAGUCGCAAACUGAUGUGAAGAUGCAGAGAACUGAACUUAAGACUGCAAGAAUGAGAAACUGAAGUUUGAGAGAACCACCCAUCCUUGCUUAGAAGUGAAUCCCAGAGUUCAGUGAGGCUUCUACCCAAGUAAGUGUACAUGCAUUUAGAACCUUUACCAUCGCCAGUCAAAACAGUGGAGAGAUUCCUCCUUUACUCCUUUUGGGUCUUCCGCAUAGACCAGAAACAAGUUCAUAUCCUUUUACUGCUGAACAAGUUACAUUGCAGAUGGGUGAACAAUUCUCAAAACAAGGAACAGAGUCCAGAUCUGCUUUCCAAGCUUGCAGUCUAGCUCUCAGCUUCCCCCUCGUUUUCCUCUUCUGUGACAUUAUUGCUCCCGUUAGUUCCAAUGUUUGGAGGUGAGUUCAGCUGAAACAGCAACACUCAUGCACAAGAGGGACAUUACAGUACAGCUGGUGUGGGGGAUUCCUGAGGGUUGCAGUACAAAAAAGGGGGGACUCUAAGACUAGAUUGCUCCCCCCAAAAAACUCCAGCUCAGUGAAGAUGGGCCUUUCUCAGUGGCCACAGAAUGCUGACAGCCAUUACCAGCAUGUGGAGCACACAAAAUCAAAAGGCAAAAACAAUGAAUGGAGUAUGUUGAACAAGGGCAUUUUGCUGCAGGUCCCCACUUGUGACUGUAUUUUUAUUGACUAUUGUAUCUGCCCUUCAUAUUGCUUCAACUUCCUUUAUCUUAUGUUACAGUUUCACACUGCAAUAACAUUGUUGCCAUAAACCAUCAGCUUGAACUACUGCUACUACAACUACUGCACUGCUAGCUUAGCAAAACAUGUUUAUGCUUAUCCUUUAUAGCACGUUACUCAUUUCCACCCACCCACUGAAGUGCUCCUUCUCAGAUCUAAUUUGUGUAGCUCACAAAGCUGUGGGAGAGAUGCAAUGGGAGCUAGGUGAGAGGCAUCAUAACACACCUCUAGAAAGAAGAUUGCAUUGCUUUUAAGCCUGAGAAAGACAUCUAGAUAAUAAUGAAGAUAAUAAAACAAAAAUACCCAACAGCUUAAAAUGUUGAAGGGAGCCCUAUGUGAAUGCUUAAAGUCCUCUAUAAAGAGCCAAGUAUAACCAACAAUGCAAGCCUAUAUGUCAAUGGGAGGGAACCUUACCCCCCAAGGGCCGCAUUCACAUCCAGGCAACCAUCUGAGGGCCAUAUUCCAGUGAUGGGCGGAGCCGGAGGCAAAAGUGAGUGGAGCAAUGGAUGCUGAUUUUUACCUUCAUGUACCAGGCUGAUUUCUACACAUACCACUGCCUAUCCUCCAUCUAGGCAAGCAAGAGGCAUUAUUAGGGUUCAAGGACACAUCCCAACCAGGCAAAAGCACUUGCAGUAUGAAAAGGGGUCAGUGAGCAGUGGGGCCUGGGGAGACUCUCAAAGGCCAGACAGAGAGAUGCCAACCCUUGGGCCUGAUGUUUCCUCUAGGUAAAGGUAAAGGGACACCUGACCAUUAGGUCCAGUUGCGGAUGACUCUGGGGUUGCGGCGCUCAUUUUGCUUUAUUGGCCGAGGGAGCUUCCAGGUCAUGUGGCCAGCAGGACUAAGCCACUUCUGGAGAACCAGAGCAGCGCAUGGAAACUCCGUUUACCUUCCCGCCGGAGCGGUACCUAUUUAUCUACUUGCACUUUGACGUUCUUUCGAACUGCUAGGUUGACAGGAGCAGGGACUGAGCAACGGGAGCUCACCCCGACACAGGGAUUCAAACCGCCGACCUUCUGAUCGGCAAGUCCUAGGCUCUGUGGUUUAACCCACAGCGCCACCCGCGUCCUGAUGUUUACUCUACUUGCCAGCGAAUAAGUCCCAUUGAAUUCAAAAGGGCUUAAUGCUUAGCAGAUGUGUUUGGAUUGCACCAUAAGUCAAGGGUGGAGAAUCUGUGGCUCUCCAGAUGUUGUUGAACUCUAACUCCCACCAUCCAGGAUUAUGGGAGUUGUAGUCCAGCAAAACCUGGACAGCCACAUGUUCUCCACCCUUUCAGCUGAAUUCAGAUGCUUUGUACCCUAGAUAACAUAUUGCGGGGGGGGGGGAUUCCCUUCACAGAUGGGGGGGGGGUGCAAAUGGAUUUAGUCCAUGCACACACCAUCAGAGGGCUAAUAGCAUCCACUGUUCCUUUUUUGCCCAUCUCCCUUUAAAAAAUGUACUGAUGGGUUGAUUUUCAAUAAUAUGAUGUAUAUAGAGAAACAAGAAAUAAACUGGUGUUUUCUUCCUCCCAAUGCCCCCCAUGAGUGUCUAAAAUUCUCAGUAGCUGCAUUAAGGCAAGCAUAAAUUCCACAUCUGUUUGGACAUUCAUGCAACAUUAACAUGAUACCCCCCCCAUAUACAUAAAAAUGUAAGACUGCCUUCACAUAGUCCCCACUGGAGGAUUUGUAGUGCCGCAUCUCAGUGUUGGAUUUGCAUGGAGAAAUGGGGUUGGGAAGGUGCUGACACCAAACUCUACAUACAUUAAACAUAAUAGAAACACCGCCACCCGACCCCACCCCUAUCCAUCUUCCCUCUCUCCACCCCCCCUUUCUUUUUUCUUUUUUUCUUUCUUCUCCCCCUAAUGCCUCAACAAAUGAAACGGACAUGUAAAAAUGUUACAUGAAAAAAAAAUACGAGGCACUACACUUCUGUAAAACAAGAAAAUCCUUAUUUAUUUAUUUAUUUAUUUAUUUAUUUAUUUAUUUAAAGUGAGGCUAGUAGCUGCCUGGGGUGAGAAGGGGGAGCAUGGCAAGGGAGUAGUGAGUGGAGUGAGCCGAACCCCUAGUAUCUUUUAUUUAUCCAGGGGCAGAACUAGGCUUCUUUUCACUGGUCAAAGACCCAAUUUGGCGUGCGCGCGCACACACACACACACACACACACACCAUGCACAUCUGUGUACACACAGAGAGAAACUGGGAGCCUCAAUGGCACCCCUAUGGAGGCUUCACCUGGGGCAAAAAAACCCGGCUAACCCCACUGUAGCUAUGGCUCUGAUUUAUCUGAAUAUGCCCAGACUUGCUUUAAGUAGCAUACAUGAAAAUAUAAAUUGAGUAUGCACUGUUUUAACUUACAUGCUUGUUGUAAGUAUAAAUUCCACACUUGGUUGGACGUUCAGACAGAGUAGCAUAAUUUAUCCUAUAUUUAUCUUAACAGGUCUACCUUCAUUCGUUCACUGUUUGGAAUAUACUAAAUAAAGUAAGUGCACGGUUCUUAUUUGAUUUUAGUUGUUUUAGUUGGAUACCUUGGCAGCUUGGGGCCAUUUGAUUGUCUCUCUGUGGCCAUCAGCAGCUCAUCGUCUUGGCUUCUGAGCUCGCACUCAUAAAGGUGGUGGUCCCUGCGGGAAGAUCCUCUGACAACCACUUUCCAGCAGGAAGGAAGCCAAGUGCAAGGAAAUGUCAAAAGAGCGAGCAGCAAAUUCACAGAAGACAGAAGUGGUGAGUCACCCAUCACAGAGAAGCUUUCCACGGUUCCAGCAACAUGGAGCACAGUCUAAUAAAUGGUACAGAUCCCCAAGGGGCCACACUAAGCUCGUUUUAGG
rnacentral:lncRNA from 1 species